AUACGGAGGGGGUUAGCGUUGUUCGGAAUUACUGGGCGUAAAGCGCACGUAGGCGGAUUGGAAAGUUGGGGGUGAAAUCCCAGGGCUCAACCCUGGAACUGCCUCCAAAACUAGCAGUCUAGAGUUCGAGAGAGGUGAGUGGAAUUCCAAGUGUAGAGGUGAAAUUCGUAGAUAUUUGGAGGAACACCAGUGGCGAAGGCGGCUCACUGGCUCGAUACUGACGCUGAGGUGCGAAAGCGUGGGGAGCAAACAGGAGUAGAUACCCCGGUAGUCC
rnacentral:rRNA from 1 species